GAUGAAGAACGUAGCGAAAUGCGAUAAGUAAUGUGAAUUGCAGAAUUCAGUGAAUCAUCGAAUCUUUGAACGCACAUUGCGCCCCUUGGUAUUCCGAGGGGCAUGCCUGUUCGAGCGUCAUUAUAACCCUCAAGCUCAGCUUGGUGUUGGGGCCUGCUGCAGUGGCAGCCCUUAAAAUCAGUGGCGGCGCCAUCUGGCUCUAAGCGUAGUAAUUCUUCUCGCUAUGGAGUCCUGGUGGAUGCUUGCCAUCAACCCCCAAUUUUUCUAUGGUUGACCUCGGAUCAGGUAGGGAUACCCGCUGAACUUAAGCAUAUCAAUAGCGGAGGA
rnacentral:misc_RNA from 1 species